rnacentral:rRNA from 1 species
AUUGAACGCUGGCGGCAGGCUUAACACAUGCAAGUCGAACGGUAACAUAAAGAAGCUUGCUUCUUUGAUGACGAGUGGCGGACGGGUGAGUAAUGCUUGGGAAUCUAGCUUAUGGAGGGGGAUAACUACGGGAAACUGUAGCUAAUACCGCGUAAUAUCGAAAGAUUAAAGUGUGGGACCUUCGGGCCACAUGCCAUAGGAUGAGCCCAAGUGGGAUUAGGUAGUUGGUGAGGUAAAGGCUCACCAAGCCGACGAUCUCUAGCUGGUCUGAGAGGAUGACCAGCCACACUGGGACUGAGACACGGCCCAGACUCCUACGGGAGGCAGCAGUGGGGAAUAUUGCGCAAUGGGGGCAACCCUGACGCAGCCAUGCCGCGUGAAUGAAGAAGGCCUUCGGGUUGUAAAGUUCUUUCGGUAGCAAGGAAGGCAUUUAGUUUAAUAGACUAGGUGAUUGACGUUAACUACAGAAGAAGCACCGGCUAACUCCGUGCCAGCAGCCGCGGUAAUACGGAGGGUGCGAGCGUUAAUCGGAAUAACUGGGCGUAAAGGGCACGCAGGCGGUGACUUAAGUGAGGUGUGAAAGCCCCGGGCUUAACCUGGGAAUUGCAUUUCAUACUGGGUCGCUAGAGUACUUUAGGGAGGGGUAGAAUUCCACGUGUAGCGGUGAAAUGCGUAGAGAUGUGGAGGAAUACCGAAGGCGAAGGCAGCCCCUUGGGAAUGUACUGACGCUCAUGUGCGAAAGCGUGGGGAGCAAACAGG